AUGGCCGGCAUGCUCCCUGGUAUCGAGUUCGCGAGGAGGAGAAGGCUCCGGCCGGCGGCGGAGGCGGCGUGCGCCGGCGCACGGCGGCCGGCGUCGCUCGGCGUGUUCUGGCACGACCACGCCCACCUCGGCUCGGCAGGCGCCACAGCACGGGAAGCCUCCGGCUCGCUGCAGCGAGAGGUGUUCACGAAGAAAUGCGGCGGCCGGCGGUUCAGCUGGGGCCGGAGGAAGGAGCAGCAGCAGCAGGCGGAGUGCGCGGUGUGCCUGGAGGAGUUCAGGGGCGGGGACGUGCUGGCGCACCUCCCCUGCGCGCACCGCUUCCACUGGGCCCGCGCCGUGCCCUGGGUCCAGGCCGCCUCCCGCUGCCCCUUCUGCCGCGCCGCCGUCCACCUCGCCGACCACCAGCUUGUUUAG
rnacentral:rRNA from 1 species